UAAGCUAAGCGCAGGCGUCCUUCGUAUGCUUUGCGUCAUUACGUUUGAGUAACCCGGAAACACACACGGAUGUUGUAGGGGAGGUAGGCGAAUAUUGAAGGCUUUUAUGCUGCAAAAUCAUCUGAAAUCAUGACAUAAAAAAUACAUUUUAUCCUCAAAACUCAGCGGAGGCUUUUCAAACCCUUAAGGAGAAUGUUAAGAGUAAGAAGUCAACCUGUCAGUCUGUAAUGAUGAUUUCUCUAUUGGGCUCAUCCAGCAGUUAAUAUUUUUUGAAUGCCACAUUAUGAAGAAUGUAACUUUUGAUGAGUUUCACUGGACCAAGAGCUGUACGAGGAUGCUGAUUUAGGAUUUGGGACUUCU
rnacentral:lncRNA from 1 species